CCUACGGGAGGCAGCAGUGGGGAAUAUUGCGCAAUGGGCGAAAGCCUGACGCAGCGACGCCGCGUGAGGGAUGAAGGUCUUCGGAUCGUAAACCUCUGUCAGCAGGGAAGAACGGUCACUGUGCUAAUCAGCAGUGAAUUGACGGUACCUGCAAAGGAAGCACCGGCUAACUCCGUGCCAGCAGCCGCGGUAAUACGGAGGGUGCGAGCGUUAAUCGGAAUUACUGGGCGUAAAGCGCUCGUAGGCGGUAUGUCAAGUCAAGGGUGAAAUCCCCGCGCUCAACGUGGGAACUGCCUUUGAAACUGGCAAACUGGAGUGUGUGAGAGGAUAGUGGAAUUCCAGGUGUAGGAGGGAAAUGCGUAGAUAUCUGGAGGAACAUCAGUGGCGAAGGCGACUAUCUGGCACAUAACUGACGCUGAGGAGCGAAAGCGUGGGUAGCAAACAGGAUUAGAUACCCGUGUAGUC
rnacentral:rRNA from 1 species